rnacentral:rRNA from 1 species
CACCGGCGGCCCGAGUGGUAACCGCUUUUAUUGGGUCUAAAGGGUCUGUAGCCGGCCAAGUAAGUCCCUUGGGAAAUCUGGCAGCUUAACUGUCAGGCUGCUAGGGGAUACUGCUGGGCUUGGGACCGGGAGAGGUGAGAGGUACCUUGGGGGUAGGGGUGAAAUCUUGUGAUCCUCGGGGGACCACCAGUGGCGAAGGCGUCUCACCAGAACGGGUCCGACGGUAAGGGACGAAAGCGAGGGGC